UACAGAGGUGCCAAGCGUUAGGCGGAAUCACUGGGCUUAAAGCGCGUGUAGGCGGGUCGUUAAGUGUCCGAGUGAAAUCCCACGGCUCAACCGUGGAACUGCCGGGCAUACGUGGCGAUCUUGAGGCAUUCAGGGGCGAGCGGAACAAAUGGUGGAGCGGUGAAAUGCGUAGAUAUCGAGAGGAACACCGGUGGCGAAGGCGGCAUCCUGGACCGGCAUUGACGCUGAGGCGCGAAAGCUAGGGGAGCAAACGGG
rnacentral:rRNA from 1 species